AACACAAUUCGAUAAUCUCAAUUCUCAAGGUCACAAUUUUUUUUCAAAACGGUCAGUCCAAAGUCAUAUUCCAUAAUAUUCUAAUCACAAUUUCAACAAUACUUCUCUCAAUUACAAUUCUUCAUAAGAAAAUAAUAAAAACAAAGAAAAUAAAGAGGUAGUACUAAGCUUACCCCGGCUUACGACUCUUAUAGUGUGGCUCCGAUCUUCCACUUCUCAACCUUUUUAUCUUACUAAAAGAUGGAUCAUCGGCCAACAGAUUCCAAAGAUUAUGAUCCUUUGAAUUCUUAACCAUUUGUUCUACUAAUAACCUAUUGUUACCAACUAAACUGCCUAACCAUCAGUCUAAUUCUCAAGGUUGUCAAUAAUCAACCAAUAACUUAUCACAAAAUUUAUUUACAUAUUCUAUAUAGCCCCACUCCUAAUUAUGCAGCAUCCUCACAAUUAUUAUUUGGCCUCAACUUAUAAAAACGCAGCAGCAUUGGCUUCUUUAGUCAAUGACGUUGACUUAUUACCCUUUGAAUUGGUAUCCUUCUCUUUUGCUAUAUCUUUGUCAUUUGCCUCGGUGUUCGAUGGUUCUUCAUUCAAACGCGUCAUCAGAUCUUCAUUCAACAAAUCCAAUUCUCGUACCUGAGACUCAAGAUGGCAAUUUGGUUGUCGGGCUCGUCCAACAUCUUCUAAAAUUCUUUUGUCGGUUUCAAAGGUAUCUCCAAAGGUGUUGUCAUUGAAACUGACAUAUUGGUCUAUAGCAAAUUAUUGGCUUCCUUCUCUAAUGCGGCUAGUUUAGUCUACAACAUUGCAACCUCUACCUACAGCCACUCUUGUCGUUCCUUCCAAUCAGUCUCCAUCUUUGCUUUUUUAGACACCAUGUUUGCCAUCUUCUCCUUUUCCACCAUCCACUUCUCUUUAACCACAAAAGAAAAUACGAUGCUUGUUAAGAAUCCCUC
rnacentral:lncRNA from 1 species